UUUGGGCCCUGGCGGUAAUAGAUGGGCCUAAGUCGGAUAGGUAAGUUGUGGGGUAAGGCUAACCAAGCCGACGAUCUGUAGCGGUUUUGAGAGGAUGAUCGCCCACACUGGGAUGAGACACGCCCCAGACUCUACGGGAGCAGCAGUGGGGAAUAUGGGACAUGGGGGGCAACCUGAUCCAGCCAUGCCGCGUGUGUGAAGAAGGCCUUUGGUUGCAAAGCACUUUAAGCGAGGAGGAGGCUACUUAGAUUAAUACUCUGAGAUAGUGGACGUUACUCGCAGAAUAAGCACCGGCUAACUCUGUGCCAGCAGCCGCGGUAAUACAGAGGGUGCAAGCGUUAAUCGGAUUUACUGGGCGUAAAGCGUGCGUAGGUGGCCAAUUAAGUCAAAUGUGAAAUCCCCGAGCUUAACUUGGGAAUUGCAUUCGAUACUGGUUGGCUAGAGUAUGGGAGAGGAUGGUAGAAUUCCAGGUGUAGCGGUGAAAUGCGUAGAGAUCUGGAGGAAUACCGAUGGCGAAGGCAGCCAUCUGGCCUAAUACUGACACUGAGGUACGAAAGCAUGGGGAGCAAACAGGAUUAGAUACCCUGGUAGUC
rnacentral:rRNA from 1 species